UACGGGGGGGGCAAGCGUUGUUCGGAAUUACUGGGCGUAAAGGGCUCGUAGGCGGCCAACUAAGUCAGACGUGAAAUCCCUCGGCUUAACCGGGGAACUGCGUCUGAUACUGGAUGGCUUGAAUCCGGGAGAGGGAUGCGGAAUUCCAGGUGUAGCGGUGAAAUGCGUAGAUAUCGGGAGGAACACCAGUGGCGAAGGCGGCGACCUGGGCCAAUAUUGACGCUGAGGUGCGAAAGCGUGGGGAGCAAACAGG
rnacentral:rRNA from 1 species